GCGGACGAGCCGGCGCUCGGCGAAGUCUCAUAAGCUUCGCGCAGCGGGUUCAACUCCCGCGUCCGCUUCCA
rnacentral:tRNA from 1 species